rnacentral:rRNA from 1 species
UACGAAGGGUGCAAGCGUUGCUCGGAAUUAUUGGGCGUAAAGCGCACGUAGGCGGCUUAGCAAGUCGGAUGUGAAAGCCCUCGGCUCAACCAAGGAAGUGCAUCCGAAACUGCUGAGCUUGAGUACUUAAGAAGAUCGCGGAAUUCCCGGUGUAGAGGUGAAAUUCGUAGAUAUCGGGAGGAACACCAGUGGCGAAGGCGGCGAUCUGGGAAGAUACUGACGCUGAGGUGCGAAAGCGUGGGGAGCAAACAGG